rnacentral:rRNA from 1 species
AAACUUUCAACAACGGAUCUCUUGGUUCCGGCAUCGAUGAAGAACGCAGCGAAAUGCGAUACGUAAUGUGAAUUGCAGAAUUCAGUGAAUCAUCGAGUCUUUGAACGCAUAUUGCGCCCCCUGGUAUUCCGGGGGGCAUGCCUGUCCGAGCGUCAUUG